UCCAGUGUAGCUCAACUGGUAGAGCGUGGCAUUAACACUGCCAUCAGGUUAGGGGUUUGAUUCCCACCUAUACUAAGA